rnacentral:lncRNA from 1 species
CUCAAAUCAAUAGACAGUACCUUUCCCAUUUUCGGAAUGUCUUUUUCAUAUUACACAAAUAUAAGUUGUAGAAAUUUACACUUUUUGGUGGCAAAGUGAAGCUUUUCUGUUAAUAACUUGGUGUGCUGCUGCCAUGGAUGUAAAGAGUAAAUAUCAUUAAUGAGUGAAUAUUUUCUAAGAACUGAUUUAUUUUUUUAGAAAUAUGGUUGCAUCUGAAAUGACUGAAAACAUCAGAUAGUUGUAUCUUACCUUAGGUUUACUUUUACACUUAAUUAGUUGCCAAAACUUUUAAGUUGAUAACUUUGGAACCUAUCAACAAUGUUGUUGAAAGAAUUCAGAUACAUUCCAAUCCAAGCAUAUGACAUAGCGGGUUUGUGUACGAGUAAUGUAGUUUCAGUGAUUGUUUGGGAAUGGAAAUAGUAAUGUAGUUUCAGUGAUUGUUGGCCCUGAGCUGGCUUCAACAUUUGUUAUUGUUAUUUCAAAGGUGGUUAUGCAUCUAAUUUCUAUUUUUUUCCUUAACAAAAA